rnacentral:rRNA from 4 species
GACUCUCGGCAACGGAUAUCUCGGCUCACGCAUCGAUGAAGAACGUAGCAAAAUGCGAUACUUGGUGUGAAUUGCAGAAUCCCGUGAACCAUCGAGUUUUUGAACGCAAGUUGCGCCCGAAGCCAUCCGGUUCAGGGCACGCCUGCCUGGGCGUCACGCAUCGC